AUUCCAAGACAGGGGCUAGCUAUGUAGGCACCCUUGUGCUGCUGAGUUGCAUGGACAGCUUCAGGCAACAGCUUUUAUCAUGUCUAGGGCCAGGUUCAGCUGCAAAGCUGGCUGUUAAAGGGGACAAAAUGAUAAAGCCAUGGCUUCAUGCACUUCUGCAUGGCUUCUGGAGGCACUUUAGGAACAAAGCAGAGGAAUGCCUUGCUCCCUGACAUGAACUGUGCUCCCAAGGUUGAAUUCCUUCAACUAGCAAUUAAAAGAGCUCAUGCAAGAAGAGGGAAGAGUGGAGGUAAAGCUCAUUUCUGCCAAGCCCCGAAUCUGGAUAGAAGCAAGAGGUUAAAGUAUUUCGUAUGAAAAACUCUGGUUACUAUAUAAGUCCAAAAUUGACAGAAAAUUGAAAAUCAAGAGUCCUGGUGCCUACGGAGCCUGAUGUAUUUUGUUACCUACAUGUUAAAUUAUGCUUCCACUGCUAGUUAAAUACAGCAAAGGCAAUUCAGCUGUAUCUGAUUGGCACUGCUUCAAGAUUUUUGACAUUCAGCAGGACAAGAAUAUGCAGCUGCAAAAAGCAAAACAAAGCAAAAACUCUCAAGCUGCACAUGCUAGAAUGGCAACAAGCCCAACUGCAACAGUUUACCAGACUCACUCAGCUAAUCAGAUACUGGGACACACAACGAAUGCUUUUGCUGACUAAAUUAUACAAUGAGAUUGUUUUGUUUUAAUGCAAAGUCCAAAUGUUUCACUCUGCAUACAAUGUCACACACUUCCAUGAAACUUAUUUUAAUUACAUGCAUGAAUGCGGUCAAAAAUUUCAGUUGCCAAUACUGUAACACUCCUGCAGAUCUACUUUUUAUCAUCCCUGUGCUCCUGUAGGAUACAGUAGCCAUUAAGCUGCAGCAGAAGGAUUGCUUUCUGAAAGAGUAUGUACUGAUUACUUCUUUAUUGUAGUGAGCUUUAAGCAAAUAUUACUGAUAUAUACACACUUCACUAUCAAAUCUGCAGUGCUUUAUUUGGAAAUAUUUUGCUUUCUUAUUAAAUCAAAGAGCUGUCCAGGAAGUUAUAAGUCAGGACAAUAAACAGAAAUACAGGAAAAGUAUCUGAUUAAUCUAAACAUAUUUUCUCUACUAGGUAGAUUAAUAUGAAUUUUGGCUCAAGAGGUCAGGCUGAAAGGAUAUGAUAGUGAAAGCUCAUGAAUGGAAUUGGUUUAGGUCAGGAAGUUUUGGGAAACAUCUUAGUUCAGAAAUCUCUAGGAUCACUGGAUUGUGGUUUUGUUUGUUUUUUUUUUCCCUCAAACACUGAAAUAAGAGCUGGAGCAAUUCUGUGUAGCACCAGUGCUACACUGCUGAUUUGUCUCUGUGAACUCAAACACAUAUUAGGAAAGCACUGAAGAAUGUCCUUAUGGUUACCUUGAUUUAAGAAAAUACAAAGCCUGCUUUUAAUUUUAAGCACAUGCUUAGGUCUCUUUCCAGGUUGAAAAAGUGCUUACAGAUUUUCCUGGUUACUGAAGGCCUUCUAUAAAUAUUCAUAUAUGGACACUUCCUCUUCCACAUCAUACAAAUUAAGUUUUCUAAUUAUACUCAGAUUCUACGAUGAGGCAGUCUAUUGAAGAACUUUUUAAAGAUAAGAAGUGAGUGUGAUUCUAUGUGACUUCAGUGAUUGAGAUAUUAGUCACAUAAUCUGUUCUAGUCUUCUGCAUCCCCUCUGGAAUCAAAGGAAGAGAUAAAGGUUUCUAGAAGGUUAUUUAUUCUGUGCCUAAAAUUAGGUACACUGAACUACAUAAUGUCUAAUAAUUUUGUCUCCCCCCUAAGGAAAAAAAACCCAAUAACACUCGUCUUUGCUGAGAUCCAGACAUAAAGAGUGUUAAAACAUUUCUAGGGUUAUUUAAAUUUGCUUUUUCUAUUCUCCUAUCAUUUCAUACUCCUUACAGAGGCCAUUCCUUUUGUACUUGAUAAAUACCAAUGGACAAAGUCCCUGCCUUUGCCAUAUAAAAGUGCUGCAAUAUUUUGGCAUAGUGGGCAAUCAAAUCCUUAUUUACUAAGUGUAACUGAUUAUAU